UACGAAGGGGGCUAGCGUUGCUCGGAAUCACUGGGCGUAAAGGGUGCGUAGGCGGGUCUUUUAAGUCAGGGGUGAAAUCCUGGAGCUCAACUCCAGAACUGCCUUUGAUACUGAGGAUCUUGAGUUCGGGAGAGGUGAGUGGAACUGCGAGUGUAGAGGUGAAAUUCGUAGAUAUUCGCAAGAACACCAGUGGCGAAGGCGGCUCACUGGCCCGAUACUGACGCUGAGGCGCGAAAGCGUGGGGGAGCAAACA
rnacentral:rRNA from 1 species